GCCAGUGUGGUGUAGUGGUUUGAGCACUGGACUAUAGCUCUGGAAACCAGGGUUCAAAUCCCUGCUUGGCCA